GAUGAACGCUGGCGGCGUGCCUAAUACAUGCAAGUCGAGCGAAUGGAUUAAGAGCUUGCUCUUAUGAAGUUAGCGGCGGACGGGUGAGUAACACGUGGGUAACCUGCCCAUAAGACUGGGAUAACUCCGGGAAACCGGGGCUAAUACCGGAUAAUAUUUUGAACUGCAUGGUUCAAAAUUGAAAGGCGGCUUCGGCUGUCACUUAUGGAUGGACCCGCGUCGCAUUAGCUAGUUGGUGCGGUAACGGCUCACCAAGGCAACGAUGCGUAGCCGACCUGAGAGGGUGAUCGGCCACACUGGGACUGAGACACGGCCCAGACUCCUACGGGAGGCAGCAGUAGGGAAUCUUCCGCAAUGGACGAAAGUCUGACGGAGCAACGCCGCGUGAGUGAUGAAGGCUUUCGGGUCGUAAAACUCUGUUGUUAGGGAAGAACAAGUGCUAGUCGAAUAAGCUGGCACCUUGACGGUACCUAACCAGAAAGCCACGGCUAACUACGUGCCAGCCGCCGCCGUAA
rnacentral:rRNA from 1 species